CGGUGGAGUAUGUGGUUUAAUUCGAUGCAACGCGAAGAACCUUACCUGGUCUUGACAUCCCGGAGACCCUUAGGAACUAGGGGUGCUUCCAUCUGGAAGAAUCUGGAGACAGGUGCUGCAUGGCUGUCGUCAGCUCGUGUCGUGAGAUGUUGGGUUAAGUCCCGCAACGAGCGCAACCCUUGCCUUUAGUUGCCAGCAGUUCGGCUGGGCACUCUAAAGGGACUGCCGGUGUUAAACCGGAGGAAGGUGGGGAUGACGUCAAGUCCUCAUGGCCUUUAUGACCAGGGCUACACACGUACUACAAUGGCCGAUACAAAGGGCAGCGACACUGCGAGGUGAAGCCAAUCCCGUAAAAUCGGUCUCAGUCCGGAUUGGAGUCUGCAACUCGACUCCAUGAAGUUGGAAUCGCUAGUAAUCGUGGAUCAGCAUGCCACGGUGAAUACGUUCCCGGGCCUU
rnacentral:rRNA from 1 species